rnacentral:lncRNA from 10 species
GGGAUCUGCCCGGAACGCAUCCCAUCCCAAACUGCAAAACCACAAGCAUCAACAGCAGGAGCCGAGCAAAGUGCUCGGCGGAGGAAGAGGAAGGGCGAGGGAGAGAAAUGGUCGAGUACAGAAGCCUGCGUGUGGGUAAGAAAAUACCCUAACCACUCGCCCACCGGACGCAGGGCGGCUGGGACUGCGAAUCCAGCAGCAGCCACAGCGUAGCAGCGGGCGGCAGCCGCCGAGGCAGCAAUGUCAGGAGGGCACAGCUGGAGGAGGCGGCCGCCAAAGCCACUACCCCACCCCCAGGUGUCUGUGUGCUUGUGAAGCGCUCCCUUGUUAGUUCCUUCUGUGAGACUCGGGGGAGACUGAAGAGGGAAAUCACCUGCGGGGAAUGAACAGGAAAGCAAUAAGAAGAUUUGGAAAAGAGGCACUGGCUACUGGAGGAAGGGAGAAAUCACCGAGAGAGCGAAAGAUGUAACAGAAACAGGCUCUUGUUCUGUCACCCAUACUUGGAGUGCAGUGGUACAAUGAUAGCUCACUGCAGCCUCAAACUCCUGGUCUCAAGCAAUCCUCUCACCUCAGCCUCCCAGAUGCAGUGACUCAUGCCUAUAAUCCCAGUACUUUGGAAGGUCAAGGCACAAGGAUCCAUUGAGGCCAGGAGUCCAAGACCAGCCUGCACAAUGUAGCAAGACUCCUUCUCUACAAAAAAAUAAAUAAAAAUUAGCCAGGCAUGGUGGUGCACUCCUGUAGUCCCAGCUACUCAAGAGGCUGAUGUAGAGAAUCGCAUUAUCCCAGAGGUCAAGGCUGCAGUGAGCCGUGAUCAUGCCUCUGCACUCCAGCCUGGACGAUAGAGCAAGACUUUAUCUCAAAAAACAAAAAUUUAAAAAGAUAUCAGGUAGCUCAUAGAAUUGUUGAGAGGGCUGUAAAACCAGGCUUGAACUUAAACAGCAACGAUAAACCACCCACAGAACGGACAUGAUGAAGAAGUUGGCAAAUGUUACCAACUGUCCUGGUUUUUUUGGUGACUGUAGUUUCCAAGGAUUCAGAUCCUUCCAUGCCAAAAUCUGAAAAAUGCUGGGCAAAGUAUGACUGACAAUGUGGUAAUCUUACAGCUAGCACUAGAGACAUCAAGCACUAGACAACACAAUUUGCCCUUUGGCCACUUAUACAAUGGGAACUCACGCUUGCAGUAACCUCUAUUGCCACUAGGAGAGAGAAACACAGAAGGAGGAAGGGAGAAGGGAGAGAGAGGAAAAAAACUGUUGCUUGUCUCCUUAGCUGUGAGUCAAAGGUCUAACACAGAUGUCUGGCUGAAAAGCCUAGGUCACAUGCCUGCACCCCAGAGAAAGUAUGUGACAUCUUCUGCUUCCAUUAUGGGAAACAGCCUUUGCUUGUCACGAAGAUUUACAUGGUGAGACAUAUCCUAAAUAUAGGGAAGCUGUUGAAGUGGCCCAAAUAAUGACCAAUUUCUACUAAUUUGUACUAAUAUCCAAAUUACUUUUAAUUAUCUAAUAUUACUUAGAUACAGUGAGGCAACCAUUCGUUGGAUAUAUAAUGGUUUCUUUGAUUUCAAAAAUCUUUUUUUAUGUAAUAUAUGUCUGAAGACCAUCAAAAUAAAUUCUUAAAGUCAGAUUAAUAGGAUGUUACUUAUAAUAUUAUUGUAAUUAUUUGACCACAUAAUAGUUUAUGCCCAUUAUAUACUAUGUAAUUGUAUGAUGGAAAUAAUGCUGUACUUUGUUUGUAAAAGUUUAAUUAUCCUGACCUUUGUUCAUCAUAAAGAAUUGCUCCAUUUCUAUUAUUUAUCGAGGAAAAAAGUUUCUCUCUUUUUGUUUUUAAUAUGUCAUUAGGAGAAGAGUAGUUACACGUAGGCUAGAGUGUUUGCCAAGAAGAAAUUGAUUUUAAUGGGAACCUUUUAUCUAAGACAAACUUUAAGAAGAGCAGUAAUGGACAAUGUGUUCUGUGCAACUCUUCAGCCUUCAGUCUCACAUUCAUUGUGGUCAAGUAUUUUCAGCAAAGAAUAACAAGUCAGAGUUUGUGUAUAUUUUUCAUAGCUGUUCAUUCUCUUACAGAGUAACCUUGAACAAACCUCUUAAGAUUUGUGUUUUAUCUUCAUAUACUGAAAUACAAAAUGGGAAUGCCUAUAUUUAAUCAAAGAUAUAAUUUUUACUGAUAGAUAGUAAAGAACAAAACACUGGAACAAGAAUUCCUGUCCUGCCUUUCACAAUGUGGUUUUGAGGCCUUGGCCAUGUCACUUAAAUUCUCAUAUCUGUUUUCUCAAUCUAUAAAUGAUCAUAAUACCUGCACUAUCUGUCUCAAAUUGCAUAUGUGAAAGCAUCUUAAAGGUACAAAACAAUAAAUACAAAGCAUUAUUAUUAAAUUAUUACACCUUCCAGCAUUUAAUGCUAAAAAUGCCAAAUGCGUCCUUUGGUUAUAUGUAGGAAAUAUGUCUCAGAAAAAUCAAUUUAAAAUUAUAGAAGCUAACAGGUAAGUCAUUUUAAGUGUGUGGUUAUCUUCUGCAUGGCAGAUUUUUAAAUGGUAAUUAUUAAUGAAGUUUUCCUAUACUUACUGUUUCCAAGACUCCAUUCUUUCCAAAGUUUUCUGAGUUAUGCUUAUCAUCCCUUAAGUCUUAGGGAUGCUCUUCUGAGCUUUUGG